rnacentral:lncRNA from 1 species
AAGAAUCUACAGGUCGAGCAAGUCUCGUAAAUUUCACGAUUGCGAGCCACGCUUCACGCAACCGUGUUUGCGUACUUGUGUUUCGAGUUGCGUGGUCGUGCGGCGUUAUAUUUACCAAAUUUAAAUAUAAUCGUUUUCAAAAUUAAAUCAAUAUGGCUACUGGGUGUAAAAGAUAAAUCUUAUUCUAUCUGUUCUUAAUGAGUUUUAGAUAAUUUUAGUUGUAUUUCUUUGUAAUUUUGUGUUGUACAAAGAUUAAUUUAACAUUUUCUCUGGAAGUAUUAAUUUAGAAAGAUAAUAUGCUUCAUUGGUGUUGUGUUGUGUUUUGAAGUGUGAAAUGCAAAGUAAUUGUGAUAAAGUCAAGAUAAAGUUCACUUUUAAACUGAACUAAAUAAGGUAUCUGAGAGACAACAAUGGUUAAAUGCAAUACAAUGUACAGGUUUUACUAGCGAAAUGAAAAUUUUCCUGUCCUGUCUGCUGUAAUCAUUUUAUAUCUGGAAAAUCAGCCGACUUAAUCGAUAAUAACAAUCUCCAGAUUGGGUUCCUUCAAUAAAUAUGGUCUAUAAACAUAAUGAAAUAAGUUCCCCAAAAUCUAAAAUGGAGUGGUAUCAAAGGAGAAUUAAAGUGAAAAAUAUUCAUAUUGAAAUUAUUUAUAAGGCACUGGACUGUCUUAAAUUCUACAAUAAUACUAGAAUCAGCUGAGAGAAGUGGUCUACAAAAAACCAGGAAGGAAACGGAAUAUGUGGCUACGAAAGGCAAAAGAAAGGUUUACAAAGCAAAUGUGACACAUUUUUUUGAAAUAUUUAGGAAUAUCAGUAAAUUGCAUUAAAAAAUGUAUGAAAAGAUUUUGUUCAAUAAAAAUGUUUAUAUUUA